GACGAACGCUGGCGGCGUGCUUAACACAUGCAAGUCGAACGGAAAGGCCCUGCUUGCAGGGUGCUCGAGUGGCGAACGGGUGAGUAACACGUGGGUGAUCUGCCCCUUACUUUGGGAUAAGCCUGGGAAACUGGGUCUAAUACUGGAUAGGACCAUGCUGUAGGUGGUGUGGUGGAAAGAUUAGUUUCGGUAAGGGAUGAGCUCGCGGCCUAUCAGCUUGUUGGUGGGGUAUUGGCCUACCAAGGCGUCGACGGGUAGCCGGCCUGAGAGGGUGGACGGCAAGAUUGGGACGGAGAUACGGCGCAGGAUCGUACGGGAGGCAGCAGUGGGGAAAAUGGCACAAUGGGAGCAAGCCUGAUGCAGCGACGCAGCGUGGGGGAUGACGGCCUUCGGGUUGUAAACUACUUACAGCCAUGACGAAGCCCUUGUGGUGACGGUAGUGGUAGAAGAAGCACCGGCUAACUACGUG
rnacentral:rRNA from 1 species